UACAGAGGUCUCAAGCGUUGUUCGGAUUCAUUGGGCGUAAAGGGCGCGUAGGCGGCCUGAUAAGUCGGGGGUGAAAGCCUGUGGCUCAACCACAGAAUUGCCUUCGAUACUGUCGGGCUUGAGACCGGAAGAGGUUAGUGGAACUGCGAGUGUAGAGGUGAAAUUCGUAGAUAUUCGCAAGAACACCAGUGGCGAAGGCGGCUGACUGGUCCGGUUCUGACGCUGAGGCGCGAAAGCGUGGGGAGCAAACAGG
rnacentral:rRNA from 1 species